GAUGAACGCUGGCGGCGUGCCUAAUACAUGCAAGUCGAGCGAACAGAUGAGGAGCUUGCUCCUCUGACGUUAGCGGCGGACGGGUGAGUAACACGUGGAUAACCUACCUAUAAGACUGGGAUAACUUCGGGAAACCGGAGCUAAUACCGGAUAAUAUAUUGAACCGCAUGGUUCAAUAGUGAAAGACGGUUUUGCUGUCACUUAUAGAUGGAUCCGCGCCGCAUUAGCUAGUUGGUAAGGUAACGGCUUACCAAGGCAACGAUGCGUAGCCGACCUGAGAGGGUGAGCGGCCACACUGGAACUGAGACACGGUCCAGACUCCUACGGGAGGCAGCAAUAGGGAAUCUUCCGCAAUGGGCGAAAGCCCGACGGAGCAACGCCGCGUGAGUGAUGAAGGUCUUCGGAUCGUAAAACUCUGUUAUUAGGGAAGAACAAAUGUGUAAGUAACUAUGCACGUCUUGACGGUACCUAAUCAGAAAGCCACGGCUAACUACGUG
rnacentral:rRNA from 1 species